GCAUAAAUUCAGCCUGGCUGGGCCUCAUCCUCCUCUGCCAUAGGUCACGGACUGCAGGGCUUCCCAAGCUGUCCCCUGGGAUGUCUGAGCGUGAGCAUCUGCACCCCCAGCAGAGGCUGCACCUGGUCCCUGUAGGGCCCUGCUGGGGCCAGCCCUGGCAGAGCGGCUGCAGGGGAUGAGCCACCCCUCCUGAGGAGCCACAUGGAUGUUGGCAUCACUGCACACACCUUGUAUUGCAAACAGAAGUAUCUGUGCACCCAGCUUCCCUCUCAUCAGGUACUAAUGAGGUUUCUAUAUGAAACGGUGCCUUGCGUGGCAGAUGGUGCCGGGUUAGAUCUGCAUUAUUCCUGUUCUGCUGAUUCAUCUCUCAAAUGUGCAAACUCAUGUGCUGCCUGGCUGUGCUUGCUGCAGGGACCCCACAUGGAUUCUUUCACAACAGACCUGCCUGGCUGUCAUCUGGGGGCUGCAGCUUUGUCUGACAUUCAGGGCGAGACCUUCUGCUGGUCCUGAAAAUCAAUAUUCAGCCCCAGCACUCCCUGACCAAUGAGGCAAUUGGAACAUAUUGAUUUUCAUUUCUGACUAAAUGGAACAGGCUUCUGUUGUACCUCAUAAUUCCUUGUAUGGUGACCAGUGCCAAGGUUGGGAUGCCAGCAGUGUACCAGCACUGGGACUGGGGCAAGCAGAAGGGCUCAGGUGGCUCACUCUGAGAGGGAGGACAAACUUCUCCUGCAUCAAGAGAGAUUCUGAUGCUUGGGUCACAUGCCUGGAAAGCCAACUCUUUUUCCAUGAGAAGGACCUGAAAGUCAUCUGAGACUGCUUGACUUGGAUUGCUUAAGUCAUCACCACUUUAAAAGCAAGUAGAUGCGCCCAUUUAAAAGGAAAGUUUUCCUAAAUACACAUUUUUCAUAAGCAAGCUGGAGCUGGAAUAAAACAAGGUAGUGAUGCUUCAGAGCUCUAGAACGUCUCCAUGGACACUGUGUAUAUAUUAUACUCAUAUCCCUGAGAUUAUUAGCAGUUUCUCAGGCUGAGCAGCAAGAUAAAAGGCAAUCUUGAUGGAGUGUUGUGAACUGUAGAUGGACACCAAGGAAAAUCUCCAUGGGCAUCCUGCAUCCUCUGCCUCCUGCCUGAGAGCCAGCCCUUCAUUCUCCUAUAGGACACAGAAUUUAAUUGCUGCCCAUCUAAGCUGAGUGAAGGCAGCCCAUACAAGUGCUGGCUUCAGCCUCUGCAGAGCCAGCAACACACACUGCUGCAAGCGGACAUAAACCAAAGGCAGAAACCCUUACCCCAGCUCUGAUCCCAGCAGGAAUUUUGCCAGGCACUUCCUAAAACCUUCACUGAUGGCACCCAGUAAAGUUCUGCAAGCAAUUCACAUCAGGAUGAAGCUAAACGGGAAAGCAGGUUAAACUCAGCAGUUGAGUCUGAAGAGAAAAUGGAACUGGGGAGGGCAAUGUGAAAGAGAACAGACAGCAUGUUAGCCCAUCUGUACAACAAGGGAGAAAUGGAUGUGACGUGCAUGCUUGACUACCAGGCAAGCCAACCUGAGAUUCCAAGGUGUUAACCACAGCUUGUCGGUUCUCUGGAGGUUAAUUCCUUUCUUUAACCCUGUGUCAUCCCAAUGGAUUUGCCAUUGUGCCCUCUGAAAGCUGCAAAGUAGAAAGCUAACAUUAGGGUUUAUAAAAUAAAACAGAUGGUAAAGCUUUUAUAACUGACGCGGCUAUGAUGAGUAUCUCAAUAGUGUUGAAGUCCUCUUUGUUUUAUUAUUAAAAAAAUAAUCUUACUAAAUGGCCAAUUUUGGAUGUAGUAACUUCACACCUAUUUUAUUAUUUGGCAGGUGCCAAACUAAGGCCCUUAAGCAUCUUGACCUUGGAGCAGGAUUUGCAUGUGAUUUCCCUCAGCUGCCAGUGAGUUUAGAAAUUGAUUUGCUCUCCUGGUCACCUUCUUCCGUUGUGGCAGCUUCUAAGGCAAUUCUCCCCAGCCAUUCUGCAAACAAGCUGAAGUACCAAAGCACAGAGUCCUGACUGCUGCUUGCCUGCUUGGUCUCCAUCCAGAGCCUGAAUACAGUCGUCUUGGGAUGAGGAGGCAACCCCAUGGUCUCAGCUGUGAUCUCCCACACCAUUAAUGAGAUUUCUUUCCUGUUACCACUAAAGUGUUUAGAUGUAGAUCUGCAUUAAUAUUCUGCAUUUCAGUGCUAAGAGAAAAGGUCUCUUUCUGGGUGCUUAGCAAUGCACACACACGAGUGGUUGUAUAACGCUUUACGUCAUCAGCGUACCAACUGCAGCAAUCAGAGGUAUAAUGCUAACCACUGCCAUAAAAUGUAGAAGUCCUGGAGUGACUGGGCAAGCAAACAAGCCAUCAUUACAAAGGGUUUGAAUGGGGGUGAGUAGUGAUCUCCAGCAGUCCUCUCCUGGAUCUCUGCUGCGGUUAGGGCCUAGGGACAGCUUCAGCUGACUCACUGCACAUCCUGAAGGGGAAAUGAAGCCCCAGCCCACCUUCAGCCCCCUCCAUGCAAAGCAGUGACUGUGUGUACAGCUGUGGUAUCCACCCAUGGGUUUUCAGCACCUUCCUUGUCUUUCCUGCCACUUUAUGCCAGUGUAAAUUUGGACAACUUUUGUUUAUGUAACUAGCUAUCCUCAGAGAGUGAGAAAUAAGCUGGGUUUUACCUAGACCUCCUGCCUGGCCACAAACUGCUCUCACAGACCUCUAGGAAGAGGCUUUUAGGUGAUGCCAUGCUCCAACAAACUCUUCAUCUUCCUGGCUUACAUAGUGCUGUAUCUGAACA